rnacentral:rRNA from 1 species
UACAGAGACUGCAAGCGUUAUUCGGAUUCACUGGGCGUAAAGGGUGCGCAGGCGGUUGGGUGUGUCAGAUGUGAAAUCCCGAGGCUUAACCUCGGAACUGCGUCUGAAACUACUCGACUAGAGUACUGGAGAGGGAAACGGAAUUCACGGUGUAGCAGUGAAAUGCGUAGAUAUCGUGAGGAACACCAGAGGCGAAGGCGGUUUCCUGGACAGUUACUGACGCUGAGGUGCGAAAGCGUGGGGAGCAAACAGG